AACGCGAAGAACCUUACCUGGUCUUGACAUCCUGGGAACCCUGCAGAAAUGCGGGGGUGCCGCAAGGAGCCCAGAGACAGGUGCUGCAUGGCUGUCGUCAGCUCGUGUCGUGAGAUGUUGGGUUAAGUCCCGCAACGAGCGCAACCCCCGUCGCAUGUUGCCAGCAUUCAGUUGGGGACUCAUGCGAGACUGCCGGUGACAAACCGGAGGAAGGUGGGGAUGACGUCAAGUCCUCAUGCCCCUUAUGUUCAGGGCUACACACGUGCUACAUUGGCGCAUACAGAGGGCUGCGAUACCGCGAGGUGGAGCGAAUCCCUUAAAGUGCGUCUCGGUUCGGAUUGCAGGCUGAAAUUCGCCUGCAUGAAGGCGGAGUUGCUAGUAAUCGCGGAUCAGCAUUGCCGCGGUGAAUACGUUCCCGGGCCUUGUACACACCGACAUA
rnacentral:rRNA from 1 species